rnacentral:rRNA from 1 species
CCUACGGGAGGCAGCAGUGGGGAAUUUUGGACAAUGGGCGAAAGCCUGAUCCAGCGACGCCGCGUGUGUGAAGAAGGCCUUCGGGUUGUAAACCUCUUUCAGUAGGGAAGAAGCGUAAGUGACGGUACCUGCAGAAGAAGCGCCGGCUAACUACGUGCCAGCAGCCGCGGUAAUACGUAGGGCGCAAGCGUUAUCCGGAAUUAUUGGGCGUAAAGAGCUCGUAGGCGGUUCGUCGCGUCUGCCGUGAAAGUCCGGGGCUCAACUCCGGAUCUGCGGUGGGUACGGGCAGACUAGAGUGAUGUAGGGGAGACUGGAAUUCCUGGUGUAGCGGUGAAAUGCGCAGAUAUCAGGAGGAACACCGAUGGCGAAGGCAGGUCUCUGGGCAUUAACUGACGCUGAGGAGCGAAAGCAUGGGGAGCGAACAGGAUUAGAUACCCUGGUAGUCCAUGCCGUAAACGUUGGGCACUAGGUGUGGGGGACAUUCCACGUUUUCCGCGCCGUAGCUAACGCAUUAAGUGCCCCGCCUGGGGAGUACGGCCGCAAGGCUAAAACUCAAAGGAAUUGACGG